rnacentral:rRNA from 1 species
AUUAAACGCUGGCGGCAUGCCUUACACAUGCAAGUCGAACGGCAGCACGGGGGCAACCCUGGUGGCGAGUGGCGGACGGGUGAGUAAAGCAUCGGAACGUAUCCUGGAGUGGGGGAUAACGUAGCGAAAGUUACGCUAAUACCGCAUAUUCUGUGAGCAGGAAAGCAGGGGAUCGCAAGACCUUGCGCUCUGGGAGCGGCCGAUGUCGGAUUAGCUAGUUGGUGGGGUAAAGGCCUACCAAGGCGACGAUCCGUAGCGGGUCUGAGAGGAUGAUCCGCCACACUGGGACUGAGACACGGCCCAGACUCCUACGGGAGGCAGCAGUGGGGAAUUUUGGACAAUGGGCGGAAGCCUGAUCCAGCCAUGCCGCGUGAGUGAAGAAGGCCUCGGUU